AACGAACGCUGGCGGCAUGCCUAACACAUGCAAGUCGAACGAGACCUUCGGGUCUAGUGGCGCACGGGUGCGUAACGCGUGGGAACCUGCCCUUAGGUUCGGAAUAACUCCCCGAAAGGGGUGCUAAUACCGGAUAAUGUCUUCGGACCAAAGAUUUAUUGCCUUUGGAUGGGCCCGCGUUGGAUUAGCUAGUUGGUAGGGUAAAAGCCUACCAAGGCGACGAUCCAUAGCUGGUCUGAGAGGAUGAUCAGCCACACUGGGACUGAGACACGGCCCAGACUCCUAUGGGAGGCAGCAGUGGGGAAUAUUGGACAAUGGGCGAAAGCCUGAUCCAGCAAUGCCGCGUGAGUGAUGAAGGCCUUAGGGUUGUAAAGCUCUUUUACCCGGGAUGAUAAUGACAGUACCGGGAGAAUAAGCUCCGGCUAACUCCGUG
rnacentral:rRNA from 1 species